ACGCUGGCGGCUGCCUUAACAUGCAAGUCGAACGGCAGCACGGGGGCAACCCUGGUGGCGAGUGGCGAACGGGUGAGUAAUACAUCGGAACGUGUCCUGUAGUGGGGGAUAGCCCGGCGAAAGCCGGAUUAAUACCGCAUACGAUCUACGGAAGAAAGCGGGGGAUCCUUCGGGACCUCGCGCUGCAGGGGCGGCCGAUGGCAGAUUAGCUAGUUGGUGGGGUAAAGGCCUACCAAGGCGACGAUCUGUAGCUGGUCUGAGAGGACGACCAGCCACACUGGGACUGAGACACGGCCCAGACUCCUACGGGAGGCAGCAGUGGGGAAUUUUGGACAAUGGGGGCAACCCUGAUCCAGCAAUGCCGCGUGUGUGAAGAAGGCCUUCGGGUUGUAAAGCACUUUUGUCCGGAAAGAAAACCAUCGCCCUAAUAUGGUGGUGGGAUGACGGUACCGGAAGAAUAAGCACCGGCUAACUACGUGCCAGCAGCCGCGGUAAUACGUANGGUGCGAGCGUUAAUCGGAAUUACUGGGCGUAAAGCGUGCGCAGGCG
rnacentral:rRNA from 1 species